UCUUCCUUUCACUCCCAGUGUCCUGCACUGUGCCCUAAGGACUGUGAGGUACUGAAUUUGGCAUUGGCCAACAAGUCACCGAGACCAGCGGACCAGCACAUCUGCACCAUCUCCUGACAGCAUGGAAAACAUAGGCAAAGCUGGGACAGCCAGGGAUGAAAAAGUUGUGAACGCUUAUACCCAAAGCCUGAUGCAAUUUUUAGGCUGAUUUGCUUUCCCUGGGCAGGAGGUGGCUCCUUUUAUUUUGCCAAAUGGGGCGAAAAGAUGCCUGACUCAGUGGAAGUGCACUCCAUAACGGCUUGCCGGGAG